AGAUUGAACGCUAGCGGGAUGCUUUACACAUGCAAGUCGAACGGCAGCGCGGACUUCGGUCUGGCGGCGAGUGGCGAACGGGUGAGUAAUAUAUCGGAACGUGCCCAGUAGCGGGGGAUAACUACGCGAAAGCGUGGCUAAUACCGCAUACGCCCUACGGGGGAAAGGGGGGGAUCGGCAAGACCUCUCACUAUUGGAGCGGCCGAUAUCAGAUUAGCUAGUUGGUGAGGUAAAGGCUCACCAAGGCGACGAUCUGUAGCUGGUUUGAGAGGACGACCAGCCACACUGGGACUGAGACACGGCCCAGACUCCUACGGGAGCAGCAGUGGGAAUUUGGAC
rnacentral:rRNA from 1 species